rnacentral:rRNA from 1 species
UACGUAGGGGGCAAGCGUUGUCCGGAUUUGUUGGGCGUAAAGAGCGUGUAGGCGGCCUGACAGGUCUGCUGUGAAAACUAGAGGCUUAACCUCUAGACGUCGAUGGAAACUGUUUGGCUAGAGUCCGGAAGAGGAGAAUGGAAUUCCUGGUGUAGCGGUGAAAUGCGCAGAUAUCAGGAAGAACACCCGUGGCUAAGGCGGUUCUCUAGUACGGUACUGACGCUGAGACGCGAAAGCGUGGGGAGCGAACAGG